rnacentral:rRNA from 1 species
AUGGGGAAGAAGAGGGCGGUGGCCGCGACGACGAGCACGCCGGUCUUCCCGUUCCCGGCGGCCGCCGGCGAGACGGAGCCGCCGCACCACUUCAGCGACUACGGCUUCGACCCCCAGCUCCUCCGCUUCUCCCAGCUGCCCGACGCGAAGCGUCACCAGCAGCAGCAGCCGCCGCCGCAGCUAGAGCACGCGCGGUUCAAGCUCCAGAAGCCCAUCUCCAAGAAGCACCAGCACGCGCAGCACAAUGGCAAGCAGCGCCGCCGCGGGUGGUGGAGCUCCGCGGCCUCUGCGGCGCUCCUCUUCUUCAAGCGCCCCUCGUCCAAGUCCAGCCCCGCCGCUCGGGCUGCCGGCACAGCCGCGUCGUCCUCCUGCGGUGCUGCUGCUGCGUUUGCCCCCCGGCCACUCUACUUCGCCGAUGACGGAGGCGACGACGACUCCACGGGGUGCACGUGCUGGUCGCCGGCCGUGCGGUCCGGUCACCUGGCCGCCGCCGAGCUAGGCAUUUCCUCGGUCCGAGUUCCGUAUGUUAGUCUCAGGGACGUCAAUCUCCGUGGUGGCGCCGGAGGAACUGGAGGGGCUGCUCCGGCGAUGCCUAUCUACCUCGUGACGUGA